rnacentral:rRNA from 1 species
AGGACGAACGCUGGCGGCGUGCUUAACACAUGCAAGUCGAACGAUGACCCGGGAACUUGUUCCUGGUGAUUAGUGGCGAACGGGUGAGUAACACGUGGGCAACCUGCCCCUAGCUCUGGGAUAACUGCGGGAAACUGUAGCUAAUACCGGAUGUGACACGAGACUGCAUGGUCAUCGUGUGGAAAGAUUUUUCGGCUAGGGAUGGGCCCGCGGUCUAUCAGCUUGUUGGUGGGGUAAUGGCUCACCAAGGCGACGACGGA